UACAGAGAGUGCGAACGUUGUUCGGAAUUACUGGGCUUAAAGCGCACGUAGGCGGCGUCGUAAGUGUCAGGUGAAAUCCCACGGCUCACCCGUGGAACUGCCUGGCAUACUGCGGCGCUCGAGUGUGGUAGGGGAGAGCGGAACUCCUGGUGGAGCGGUGAAAUGCGUAGAUAUCAGGAGGAACACCGGUGGCGAAGGCGGCUCUCUGGUCCACAACUGACGCUGAGGUGCGAAAGCUAGGGGAGCAAACGGG
rnacentral:rRNA from 1 species